CGUCUUGGCCAUGCCUCCCUGAAUACACAGUGUCCUCUGAUCUUCGAAGUUAACCAAGGUCAGGCCUGGUUAGUACUUGGAUGGGAGAAAGUUCAGCUGGCCAUAGAGGA
rnacentral:rRNA from 1 species